rnacentral:rRNA from 1 species
CUGAACUAGGCAAAAUGGCACCGUAACUUCGGGAGAAGGUGCGCCGGUGAGGGUGAAGGACUUGCUCCGAAAGCCCACGCCGGUCGAAGAUACCAGGCCGCUGCGACUGUUUAUUAAAAACACAGCACUCUGCAAACACGAAAGUGGACGUAUAGGGUGUGACGCCUGCCCGGUGCCGGAAGGUUAAUUGAUGGGGUUAGCUAACGCGAAGCUCUUGAUCGAAGCCCCGGUAAACGGCGGCCGUAACUAUAACGGUCCUAAGGUAGCGAAAUUCCUUGUCGGGUAAGUUCCGACCUGCACGAAUGGCGUAACGAUGGCGGCGCUGUCUCCACCCGAGACUCAGUGAAAUUGAAAUCGCUGUGAAGAUGCAGUGUAUCCGCGGCUAGACGGAAAGACCCCGUGAACCUUUACUAUAGCUUUGCACUGGACUUUGAAUUUGCUUGUGUAGGAUAGGUGGGAGGCUUUGAAGCGUGGACGCCAGUUCGCGUGGAGCCAACCUUGAAAUACCACCCUGGCAACUUUGAGGUUCUAACUCAGGUCCGUUAUCCGGAUCGAGGACAGUGUAUGGUGGGUAGUUUGACUGGGGCGGUCUCCUCCUAAAGAGUAACGGAGGAGUACGAAGGUGCGCUCAGACCGGUCGGAAAUCGGUCGUAGAGUAUAAAGGCAAAAGCGCGCUUGACUGCGAGACAGACACGUCGAGCAGGUACGAAAGUAGGUCUUAGUGAUCCGGUGGUUCUGUAUGGAAGGGCCAUCGCUCAACGGAUAAAAGGUACUCCGGGGAUAACAGGCUGAUACCGCCCAAGAGUUCAUAUCGACGGCGGUGUUUGGCACCUCGAUGUCGGCUCAUCACAUCCUGGGGCUGAAGCCGGUCCCAAGGGUAUGGCUGUUCGCCAUUUAAAGUGGUACGCGAGCUGGGUUUAGAACGUCGUGAGACAGUUCGGUCCCUAUCUGCCGUGGACGUUUGAGAUUUGAGAGGGGCUGCUCCUAGUACGAGAGGACCGGAGUGGACGAACCUCUGGUGUUCCGGUUGUCACGCCAGUGGCAUUGCCGGGUAGCUAUGUUCGGAAAAGAUAACCGCUGAAAGCAUCUAAGCGGGAAACUUGCCUCAAGAUGAGAUCUCACUGGGACCUUGAGUCCCCUGAAGGGCCGUCGAAGACUACGACGUUGAUAGGUUGGGUGUGUAAGCGCUGUGAGGCGUUGAGCUAACCAAUACUAAUUGCCCGUGAGGCUUGAUC